GAUGAAGAACGCAGCGAAAUGCGACAAGUAGUGUGAAUUGCAGAAUUCAGUGAAUCAUCGAAUCUUUGAACGCACAUUGCGCCCUUUGGUAUUCCAAAGGGCAUGCCUGUUCGAGCGUCAUUUGUACCCUCAAGCUUUGCUUGGUGUUGAGCGUCUUGUCUCUAGCUUUGCUGGAGACUCGCCUUAAAGUAAUUGGCAGCCGGCCUACUGGUUUCGGAGCGCAGCACAAGUCGCACUCUCUAUCAGCAAAGGUCUAGCAUCCAUUAAGCCUUUUUUUUCAACUUUUGACCUCGGAUCAGGUAGGGAUACCCGCUGAACUUAAGCAUAUCAAUAAGCGGAGGA
rnacentral:misc_RNA from 1 species